ensembl:lncRNA
UUCAAUGAAAGCUGUGAUCAGCAAUUGUAUAUGUUAAAAUGCCUAGUGUGAAGGAUAUCAUAAGGCCAUGAGACAAUAAAAUGUAAAACACCCAAUUUAUGAUUGAUGAAAGUAAGAAAUCGGUCAGAUUUGACCAGAACACGACAGGAAGGUUAGCCUGUCCUAUAUUUCCUAACGUGUGUGUGUGUGUGUGUGUGUGUGUGUGUGUGUGUGUGUGUGUGUGUGUGUGUGUGUGUGUGUGUGUGUGUGUGUGUGUGUGUGUGUGUGAGUGAGUGAGUGAGUGAGUGAGUGAGUGAGUGAGUGAGUGAGUUUAUGCAUCAGCCUGUGAGAAAACUGACUCAUCCAAUGCAAACUAAUAACUCAUGUAGCCAACUGCAUCACUACAAAUUCAUACAUGUCAUACACAUAUCACAAUUAAAAACGUCCUAGAAAAAACACAACAGCCACCCCUGCUCCAAACGUUACACGAAUCCUAACAAGUUGAACAUUAUUCGCAGUUUGCUGCAGCCACUCGAGGAGUCCGAUUCGCCGAGCAGAGCCAGGCGGCCCGUGGUGAUAUUAGGGACAGCCUACGUAACGGGAUAAAAACAGAUGAAAAGCUUCCGCCGUUCGUAAUAAUCCUGUCCUCAAACGACAGCGGGGGGAAACGAACCCGGCGUACCGAGCGAACCCUGCUAUACCCUGAUGCCGCCGCGUUCACUUUCGCACACUGGGAUCGGCGACGGAGGCGUCGCCUGCCGCGUUCGAUUUCGCGUUCACCGGCGUGCUGACGAGCGUACCCUGGGAAACGGCGUACCUCAGCAAGACGCCGGUCAACGCGAAAGUGAACGCGGCAGCGGCAGCGGCGUGCGGCGCGCAACGGUGCACCCGGUGAACCGCGCAAGGACUUCCUCGUUUAAAGGAACCCGGGCGCCCUCGAACAACUGCGACACAAAACCCCGCCGAAGCGUUCAAGUUUCGACCCGUUUCAUCGUUCCAGUGCCUUGGGGACAAGUUCACGGACUUUCUCUACUCCGGGCGAGGAAACGACAACAACAGGGUAGGAGUUUAUUGUGCAACAAAAAAAACAACAACACACCACCAGACUCACUUGUGUCACGUUUUUUAGGUGGAUGACUUUUUGUAUGCAGUGUAAUCUGGGUGUUGCAGUUUUUGAAUCACAUCCAGUUCUCCGGGUUGACUGAGUUAAAAGGUUCGUCACUCCACGCAGGCCACUUGAAACAGGUGUUAUAAUUUGAGCUUCACAGUGAUUUAUAAAUGGCCUGCUGGUUAUUUGUUGUGUUUUAACCUGACGAGGUUGCAUGCAUUCAUAAGUGUUCUAUCGCCUAUGGGUUCAUGUUGACUGCUUUCCUUGUGGGACACGCGUUGUUAAUUGUGUUACGUUUCAACGAAGAGACGUCUUGGUUGUGUUUUUGGUCAAUAAAGUAUUAUGAUCGUAUGACCACGAAUAGGCUACUCUUUGGAAAUAAAUGUUACAUUAAAGAAAACCGAAGAUUUAAUAAUUGAAUGAUCUGUUUGUUUGCGAUGGCGGAUCUGUAUGGUACGUGAUCAUAUAAUUAGAUAGGAUAUAAUUCCUUGAUGGGCUAUUAUUUAAUUAUUAAUUCAGAAAUGUUGGUUCUUCUGGAAACAGGUAUGCUUUGAAGUCAGGUUUGACAUUGAAUGUUACAGUUAUUAUAAUGUCACUACAACAAGCAAUAUAGCAACUAAAUAAUUAUUUAAAUAUGACAAUAUUGUGCAAUAUAUUCUAACCUACCAAAUAGGCCUAAUCUGAAUUUAUUGGGAGGCUUUUGAUUUUUUUGAGUAAAGUUCAGUCGUCUAUUGGCUAAGUGUCAAAGGAGCCAUAUAAUAAUAAGUUUUAUUAUACAGCUGUAUAUUAAUAGUAAAAGUCAAUAUAUAUCCAAAAAAAGUUUUGUAAAAAGGAGAAGAGUUUCCUAGAAUCAAGACUAAUUUGGAUUUGUACCUUUGUUAUCCUUAGAGGAAAGUGUGUGUCAGGAAUUGUCUUUCCCCCUACAUUCUUCACUGUUUUUCCUAUCCGGUGGCAAGCAUUUAGAAAAGUUCACUACAUAGAAGCAUAUAAUUAUUAACAUAUAGCUAAUAAAAUAUUUUAAAUCAUUACAUAUAAAAUACAGGUUUACUCCAUAUUUCUGAAGAAGCUAUUUAUUUACAAGUGGAUGUAGAAAAAAAAAGGCAUGACCGGGUGUAUAUAUAAGGAUUCGCAGAGAAAUAGGAAUCAUAAUGCAUGUCUGAUCAAGUUAUAUACUUAUUUUAAAUUCAGUGAAAAACUUUUUUCCUUUUACGUUCUUGUCCUCUGCUAUAAAAUAUGAGUGUGUCCAUCAUGUGAGCUGUCAUGUACACCUGUGAAUAUAGCAAGGCACUGUGCAGUCGACACAUUGGCUGUGCCUUCUGUUCCGCUUGGAAGCAGUUGGUGGAUGUUUGUCCUUUCCACAAAAAUAUCUAUCUGAAUCGUUUCAAGACAGGCCAGCUUCCUUUUACUUCUCUGUUUGGGACAAGUCUUAGGUUUUUGGUUAUUGUGACCAAACCUGUAUUAAUUAUAUAAAUGUUACAAUAUCUAUAUAUUAUACAAUGUAUAUAUAUAUUUAAUUAUAGGGCUAACCCACAAAUAAUCAAAAUUGUCCAUAAUAGUAGGGCCAUAGAAACAGAGGAAUUAUUGAAGCAGCAAAAGGCCUGGCACUAUAUGCUCCGCGAUAGAUUAGCUUACUCACACUAAGAACCACUUGCACAGCAAAAGUUAAACACUAUAAAAUAUGACCAUGUACACAGAGCAAGGGCAUUGCGAUCCGUCGAUCGCAAUGCAUUGCAGCAAGGGCCCGAAUCCGGCCCUGCCAAGUUUAUCACCUGCACGUACACAGACACGUACACACUUUCAAUGCAAAAGCGGAAAAGGGAGAAGGGGUUUAAACAACAGCCUGGCUGGAAGGAAUCUAACCAAAUCGUGUUUGUCCGACAAACAACUUGCCACGCUUCAAACUGUGCCCUCUGCGUUUGCACAGAGUCGACCUAACUGCAAGCAUUUAUCGGCAGACCUUCGUUUUUCCAGGCCUGCUCUUCUCGUACAAGCAGAAAACACCCUUGCACAAUGAACUCCAAUACGAAGUGAAUGGAGGUGAAAGGGUAGUGUUGUCAAGGGUGUAGUGCUGUCAGUAGCGCUCAGCUGUUGGGUGUUAAGUCUUCUGCUCACCGUCUCCUACUGAGGAGAGUCAAAUGUUUUGUAAACUCUCAUCAUAAGCGUGAUAGCAUGCAACGAAUGCAACGAUUUGGUCUGUUGCUUUGCAUUGUUUCUACUGGGUUGAGGCCCCAUGUUAAACAAACUAACAAAAAGUUUAUUUCUCAGUUCCCUUGUAUUUAUAUAAUUUGAAAUUCGGGUGAAGAAAUAUAUAAUCUGUGUGUGUGUGUGUGUGUGUGUGUGUGUGUGUGUGUGUGUGUGUGUGUGUGUGUGUGUGUGUGUGUGUGUGUGUGUGUGUGUGUGUGUGUGUGUGUGUGUGUGUUUGUUACUAAAAGUUUGUGCUAUGCAUGGCAUCUUUUCUGCUGUGUUUUGCUUUGGAAAUCUCUUCAGGGUCCCAGGUGAGAGUCUAGGUUCAAUGCAGAUCAAAGAUAUUUGUAUAAUUGUUAAAAAAUGACAAAGUCAAAGCAUUAUGCUAAACAGCACCUACAAAUUGCUUCAUCAGAGAUUUUUCUUCCUCUAUUCCUUUCUUCUUUCUUUCAGUGUGUGUUUAUUACAACAACAUAAUUGAAUUCACACACUCACAGACCAUCAUGUUAUAGAUAUUUGAUUAAUUGCAUAAGUUACUGGGAAAGGAGUCAUUCAAUGGUCUUUGUCCCUUACUAUUAUACCUCUCUGUAGGCCUGCAUAUUAAAUCACUUUUUCAGUAUCAGUGUUUUCAUCUGAAAUCACACGUCGGCAAACUGAUCACUCUGAUCUUGUGAAACUUCCAUGAGUGUGGUUUUUCCCCCCGUGACUUUGAGGAGAGAAAAAAAGCUGUGCAUGUUUAUCUGUGCGUCUGUGUUUGGAGCUUUUAUGUGCAUGACCUAAUUCUGCAGUGACGGCUGCUUUCCGCUGUGAGUGCUUGUGCGAACCUUGAGCUGCGCAUGCGCUCGCUUCCAUGUCCUCGUGUCUGUGUCCGCGUGUGUGUGUGUUUGUGCAAUGCGCAUGUGCGUGAGUGUGUGCGUGCACUGCGCAUGUGCCUGUGUGUCUGGUGUGUGUGUGCAUGCACUGCGCGCGCGCGUGUGUGUGUGUGUGUGCACUGCGCAUGUGCCUGUGUGUGUGUGUGUGUGUGUGCAUGCAUGCACACACACACACACACACACACCCAUGAGUGAAUGAGAACACACCCUCUCCCCCUCCCCACCGCGUUUCCUUGUAGGAGCUGACAGAGAGCACACCAAGUUCAUCUGAGGACAAGGAAAUGCUUUUCUUUCCACUGUGAAUCAUUUUGGAAAAAUGAGCCGCUGCUCCGAAUUGCCCCAGCAAUUUGGCAUCGCUCUCCUCUCUGCUUUAUUGUCUGUUUUGGCUGAACUUGCAGUCCACCGUUUGACUGCCAAGAAAACUUCAGGUCCCAUACACCAGGCAACCACGUCCUGUAAGCAAAUAAAAUACAUUGCUGUAGAAUGCUGCCCCUCACUUCCUGUUUGGGGGUGAAUUCCAUCGGGAAGCACGAGGGAGCUCUCCCACCAGAGUUCGGCUGUUACCUUCCUCUCUUCAGGCUUCAAUAACAGUUCAAUAACAUUGCAUUUUUCUAGAGUUCGCCCUUUUUCUUCCUUACGUCGGUGCUUAUGGAUAAACACAGAACCUGAAUGUAUCACUGACACAUAUUGAAAGGCAGAAGCGUUUUACGAAGUCAAGUAGUUUAAAAUGCAAAACUGCAGCACAGCCAAUAGAGGCGAUCUUGUGAGAGGGGGGCACAUUUUUUGUUUGGGUGGGUGGGUGUUGGUGGAGGUGGUGGUGGUGGAGGUGGAGGUGGUGGUGGUGGUGGAGGUGCUGGUUGUGCUGGGGAAGGCAAGAGGAGAAGGGGAAAGAAGAGAAGCAGGGACAUACGGAGGGUAGAGAGGGGCAGAGUGGUUUUCUUUCUGCAGACGGUCAGCCCCCUCAUUUUCGCUACCCCCGCAACCAACCACCACCACCUUCCCUCCCCCCUCUAGCCUCCCCCCUCUAGCCUCCCCUCUAGCCUCCCCCUCUAGCCUCCCCCCUCUAGCCUCACCCCUCUAGCCUCACCCCUCCAGCCUCCUCACCUCCCGACCCCUGCAAGACGUACCCAUGCAGCACUGCGUCGGGGGGGGGGUGG